AUUGAACGCUGGCGGCAGGCCUAACACAUGCAAGUCGAGCGGAUGAAGGGAGCUUGCUCCUGGAUUCAGCGGCGGACGGGUGAGUAAUGCCUAGGAAUCUGCCUGGUAGUGGGGGGUAACGUCCGGAAACGGGCGCUAAUACCGCAUACGUCCUGAGGGAGAAAGUGGGGGAUCUUCGGACCUCACGCUAUCAGAUGAGCCUAGGUCGGACUAGCUAGUUGGUGGGGUAAAGGCCUACCAAGGCGACGAUCCGUAACUGGUCUGAGAGGAUGAUCAGUCACACUGGAACUGAGACACGGUCCAGACUCCUACGGGAGGCAGCAGUGGGGAAUAUUGGACAAUGGGCGAAAGCCUGAUCCAGCCAUGCCGCGUGUGUGAAGAAGGUCUUCGGAUUGUAAAGCACUUUAAGUUGGGAGGAAGGGCAGUAAGUUAAUACCUUGCUGUUUUGACGUUACCAACAGAAUAAGCACCGGCUAACUUCGUG
rnacentral:rRNA from 1 species